UCUCCGUAGGUGAACCUGCGGAAGGAUCAUUAUUGUAUAACCGAGGUGCGAGGGCUGUCGCUGACCCGAAAGGUCGUGCACGCCCGAGUGCCCUCACACACAUCCAUCUCACCCCUAUGUGCACCACCGCGUGGGUCCCCCUUUGGCUUGUUCGGAGGGGGGCUUACGUUUUCACACAAACUUUGUAUGCAGUGUAGAAUGUAUUUUUUGUUUUUGCGAUCACGCAAUCAAUACAACUUUCAACAACGGAUCUCUUGGCUCUCGCAUCGAUGAAGAAGC
rnacentral:misc_RNA from 1 species